rnacentral:lncRNA from 1 species
CAACUUGGAGAGCGUCGUGCCAUUGAAAAGUGGUGAGGCCGUGACCCACAGCAGUGUCCACAUGAUGGCAGGGAACCUGUGGCCCUGGCUACAGCAGCACAGCGUGUAAUCUGGAUGUCACGUCAGGUGAACGAUCUUAUCUGGCCUGAAGUCCUAUGGCGGCAAUGCACGACCGCAUUGGGGAGGCUGAGGUUCAGGGCAAGAGCCUUUAUGGAAAGGGCAGUAACAGGCACAAGAAGGACCCAGUGAAGGAGGGAUUGGAUCCAGUUCAUCUGAAUGCUGUAAUUGGUUACAUCCUCCAGCAAGUUCAGGACGACAAAUGUGCAGCUCAAAAGCAG